CUAUCAGCUUGUUGGUGGGGUGAUGGCCUACCAAGGCGACGACGGGUAGCCGGCCUGAGAGGGUGACCGGCCACACUGGGACUGAGACACGGCCCAGACUCCUACGGGAGGCAGCAGUGGGGAAUAUUGCGCAAUGGGCGGAAGCCUGACGCAGCGACGCCGCGUGAGGGAUGACGGCCUUCGGGUUGUAAACCUCUUUCAGCAGGGACGAAGCGCAAGUGACGGUACCUGCAGAAGAAGCACCGGCCAACUACGUGCCAGCAGCCGCGGUAAUACGUAGGGUGCAAGCGUUGUCCGGAAUUAUUGGGCGUAAAGAGCUCGUAGGCGGUUUGUCGCGUCGGCUGUGAAAGCCCGGAGCUCAACUCCGGGUCUGCAGUCGAUACGGGCAGACUUGAGUGUUGCAGGGGAGACUGGAAUUCCUGGUGUAGCGGUGAAAUGCGCAGAUAUCAGGAGGAACACCGGUGGCGAAGGCGGGUCUCUGGGCAACAACUGACGCUGAGGAGCGAAAGCGUGGGGAGCGAACAGGAUUAGAUACCCUGGUAGUCCACGCC
rnacentral:rRNA from 1 species